CGGAGAUUAUAUUCACUUGGAGC
rnacentral:siRNA from 1 species